GACGAACGCUGGCGGCGUGCCUAACACAUGCAAGUAGAACGCAGAUGCGAACGGGUGAGUAUCGCGUAGGUAACUGUACCAUAGCGGGGGAUAACUAUGGGAAACGAUAGCUAAAACCGCAUACUGUGAGAUGGAACUGCGUUGUAUUAGCUAGUUGGUGGGGCAAAGGCUCACCAAGCCGACGCGACAUAGCCGGCCUGAGAGGUUGAACGGCCACACUGGGACUGGGACACGGCCCAGACUCCUACGGGAGGCAGCAGUAGGGAAUCUUCGGCAAUUGACGGAAGUCUGACCGAGCAACGCCGCGGGAGUGAAGAAGGUUUUCGGUUUGUAAAGCUCUGUUAUUAGAGAAGCGGUACCUAACCAGAAAGCAACGGCUAACUACGUGCCAGCAGCCGCGGUAAUAC
rnacentral:rRNA from 1 species